UCAGGGUGUUGGUUUUUCUCACUGAAGCUUCCACUCGUGCAAUUUUGAUUGGUGAUUGUGACUUAGUCCUCCUCGUGAUCUACGGCAAGAAAGUUGAUUGUGGCCAUACCUGUUGGAGUAGUAAGGACAAACGUUCAAAUUGCUCUUCUUGAUGUAACCCCCAAGCUGUAGGCUGCUGUUAUUUUAAGAGGUGGAGACGCAUUAUCUGAAAUGGCUGUUGCAACGUACUGAAAUUAAAUUUUAUUAAACUCUGGGUUAGUUGAAGUCGCUUAUUGUAAAUAGUGAUGAAUCGUGGUAUUUAGUUGUUUCUCUAAAUUUAUUGAAAUGAGCUUUUUAAAUGUUUUGGAAUGUUUAAUAAGGUUCUUGGCACCAUCUGUGUCUUGCCUACAAAUUUACUUGUUACUAGAUUAUAAAUAUAUUGGUGUUCUGGGCAGUUUACCUUGUUAGAGCAACAAGGUGAUGCAAGGCAGUUUUUUUCCCAACUUGGCUGUAACUUAGAAAGGUUGGUUGCAAGUUUGUAGUGUGGUGCAUGGGAUUGAAGGAAUAAUCACCGCUCCACAUUGAUAAGAUAGAUUCCUGUUGCAUUGAAGUCGGCAAGUUGAAUAAAUGUUUUGGGAAAUAUUGUAGUUAUAAUAUUGUACAACAUUGUGUUAAUUAGAAUAAUGAUCAUAACUUGGUGAAAGCCCACCAAACACAUACCGAAACUACGACGUUGGUACAACGUUCGAACAAGUCUUAACACCUCCUAACCAGUUAUAACAACCAAUAUAGCAAGUUGUAACAACGUUCUAAUACGUCAUAAACACGUU